rnacentral:lncRNA from 1 species
UUUUUCUAGCUUCCUGAAAAUAGGAGUUUAGGUCACUGAUUUUCAGCCUUGCUGCUUCUUUUUUUUUUCUUUGCCACAUAGUGCAGUGGCUUGAUAUGGAAUCUCAGUUCCCAGACCUGGGAUAGAACCAGGGCCGCAGCGGUAAAAGCUCCAAAUCCCAACCACUACAUCGUCAGGGAACAUCCCACUUGCUUCUUUUUUAAUAUAUGUACUUAAUGCUAGAAAUUUCCCUACAUACAUUGCUUCAGCUGCAACAAAUUUUGGUAUCUUUGUUACUAUUCACUCAAAACAUUAAAAAAACAUUUUUUUGACCCAGAGUGUUUCAAAACGUACUACAUCAUUUCCAAGCAGUUGGGUUUUUUUUGGGGGGGGCGCGGGGGCAGGAGUUGCCUGCAGUAUGUGGAACUUCCCAGGACAGGGAUGGGAGCUGGGCCACAGCAGCAACCUGGGAUGCUGCAAUGCCAAUGCCAGAUCCUUAACCUGCUGUCUGGCCGAUCAUUCAUGUUUACAUAAAGAAACUGAAUUAUGCCUUUUUGAUCAAAUGUUCAACAUACAUAAAUUAGUUGAAGUUUAGUGACUGCAUUGUUCAGAUCAUCUGCAAUCUGAGCUUUUUCCUUUUGGUCUGAAUAUUCCGCCAGCUAUUGCAAAAUCUACGCAAAAGUUUCUAACUAUCGUUGGAGAUUUACUUAUUUCCCGUCUCAUACCAUUUUUGCUUUAUAUAGUUUACAUUCAUCCUGGGCAUAUACACAUUUAGGAUUAUGUGGUUUGCAUGGCUUCUUUCACCAUUACAAAGUGUCCUUUUUAUCUCUAGUGAUGCUUUUUGCUUUAAAUGUCUUUGCCUGAUAAAACCAGUCACGUUGUUUCCAUUUUGGUUGUUUGUCCCUAAUAUAUCUCCCUACGCACUUAUUUUCAACUUUUUUGUGAUCGUAUAGUUGUAUCUCUCGUAAGAAGUCUGUAGUGGGAUUGACUCGGCUAUAAUUUUUUCAACUUUAAUUCAAGUUGAAUCACUUAAAGUGUUUGGGUUUAUAUUUUGCAAUUUAAAAAUCUACCCAGUUUUAUGCUCCCUCUUCCAUUCUUGUCUUCUUAUACUUUACCCUCUAUCAUUAGACAUACAUUCCAUUGUUAUUUUGGUGUUUAACUUAACUCAGAGAUUAUAACAUACUUCCUUUACAAUCGACUAGCAGUAGCAGUUCUACCAAUCACCAAAUGCUAGAACCUGAGAGCACUAACUCCAUUUACUCUCCUUGUCUUUUGAUUACAUAUGAUGCAUUUUAUCUCUACAAAUACUUUAAAUCCUAGUUUUAGCUAACAUUUAUAUUUACACACACAUUUACCAUUUCCAUUGCUUUUCAUUUAUUCCUGCAUUUCUGGACUUCAUCUGGGUCAUUUUGCUUCUGCCUGAAGAAUAUCCUUCAACAUUUCUUCCAGUGUAUAGAAAUUAUUAUUUUUUCUGGUAGGUCUUUAACUCUGUUAUCAUAUUUGGAGUGUAUCUUGCCCUUGCUCCUCUUCCUCAUCUGGAAUGUGGGCACUUCAGCAGCCAUCUUUCGAUGAGGACAGAAGCCUGGACUACACUGACCUUGGAGGAGCUACUGACCUUGGACACCUGGACAGCCUGCAUAUGAAAGAAAAGUAAAUCCGAAUGGUUUAAGCACCAUUCUUAACUUUGGUUCUGUUAUAAGACAAACAUUCCUGAUACAAUGUCUUUGAUCAAUUCUGGAAGCUUCUCAGCCACUUAGCUCUUCCAAUGUAGCUGUCAAGAUAUCUUUACAUUUCAAUAGUCCAGCAUCUGUGGCACCUGUUGCUCAUGUAGUCAUCACGUAGGUCCUGCUAGCAUUCUGAUCAAGGAAGUAUGGGCCAGGAUGAUCACCUCGCGCUCUAGGGAAUUCCUAAUUCAGAGGAGAGGUUUCUAGGUACUGCCGUCUGCUUCUUGACCAUCAUAUAAUGCUUUGCUAAUUUAAUACUAAAUGUCAGCAAUUUUUAUUAGUAGACUUAGUGGUCUGUUAACUAGAACGAUGAACUUCGAAAACUGGCCCCCAAUGGUUAAAGACUUCCAUUAUAUGGAUUGGCUAAAACUGGAUUUGCACAGCCCACACUUGCCAGAACAAGUCAAAGAAUCCAGCUUGAUCUGUAGUCCUUACCCUUGAGAGGAUGUCCUAAUAUAAUCCCCUAAAAGGACCUCUGUCCAGCCAUGAACACAGGCUUCGUUAAGAGCAACUGAACUCUGCUUCUUGAAGGAAGCUUUCAGGCCAGGUGGUGGCGAGAGCAUCUCAAAGGGCAGAGAACAACCUCCUUAAGCCUGGAGAACAGGGAGUAAGACCUGUUCUCUUGCUUCGUUGUAUCUGUGUAGUGACUGAAGCUGGUGUAAAAUCAUUCUCAUUAUACCCUGGCUGUGAGGAGGUGAUCUGGGGGCAGGAGUGUGUGUGUGGGGGGUGCAGUCCGUGGGUACCACUGUUUAUACAUGAAUACAUUAGCCUAGGUGAGUUCACAACUGCCUCAUCCCCCAUUCUCUUUUCUCCUGCUUGCAAUUCCUGAAAUAUAUAUGUAGACUGGAACUUCCACAUGUUAAAUCUUUCCUUUUUUUCCAUCUCUUUUAUGCUCUAUUCUAGCUUACUCCUGUUUGUAGCUUCAAAAUUAUCAAGGGUGUCUGACGUAUACAUUAGUAACUUUUUUUCUUAGUGACAUUAGAAGAGAGGCACCAAGAGGGCAGAACUCUGUUCUGUGGCUGUACUGCCAGCACCUUAUUGUGCCCAGCAUAUGAGGGAGCUGCUCACAAGUCAUUUUUAAGCUAAGCUUGGAUACUGUGAGAGCAAGACUAUAAAUAUAAAGCACAUUUCAAUUCUUUCUCAAGGAAAUCUUCCUUUCCUCUCAUGUUCAGAAGCUGUUUGCAGCCCUGAGGCUGCUGUGCAGAGCUCGGCUUCUGCCUUCCGGAGGCUGCAAUACCCUCCAGGGUCUGUUUGCUGCAGAGGUUUCGGUCCCACCUUCCCUGAAUUUCAGGUUACGUCUCGCUGUUAAAGUCCCAGAGCGCACUGGUGAGGCUCUGAACCAAGAGGAUAAUCUGCAGGUCGGAGCCACUCUCAGCCCCUCCGCCUCCGCCUACCACUCUGUUUUCUCUUCGUUUCUGGCAGCUGGGGUUUCCUUCUCUUUUGCAGUCAGCUGUGUGUAUUUGUUAUGUUUUAUGUCAUAUUCUGAAUGUGGAGCUAUGGGCUGGUGGUGGUAGCAAGAUUUAUGUUAGUUCAGUCUUCCCCGCCACCAAGAUUCCUAGGGUGAAAUUGUGUGAGGGUAAAAAAAGAGACGAUUUUGGAGUUUUCGCUUUGGCAAAGGGGCUUAAGGAUUUGGCAUUGUCACUGCAGCGGCCCAGGUCACUGCUGUGGCACGGGAACUUUCACAUGCCAUAGGCAUGGCCAAAAAUAAACAUCUUAAGACACUGUUUUUCAGUUUUCUAUUACACUGUAGUAAAAUUCACUUAGUGUUACACUUAGAAAAGCAGAACAAAUGAAGAAAAUCCCAACUCAGGCGUUCCCAUCGUGGCUCAGCGGUUAACAAACCUGUAUCCAUGAGG